rnacentral:misc_RNA from 1 species
AAUGCGAUAAGUAGUGUGAAUUGCAGAAUUCAGUGAAUCAUCGAAUCUUUGAACGCACACUGCGCCCCUUGGUAUUCCAUGGGGCAUGCCUGUUCGAGCGUCAUUUGUACCCUCAAGCUCUGCUUGGUGUUGGGUGUUUGUCCCCGUCUCCGCGCGUGGACUCGCCCCAAAGUGAUUGGCAGCCGGCGUACUGGUCCCGGAGCGCAGCACAUGUCGCGCAAACGAGUGCCUUGGUACGGCGGCGUCCAUAAGCCCCUCUCUCACGCUCUUGACCUCGGAUCAGGUAGGGAUACCCGCUGAAGUUAAGC